rnacentral:ncRNA from 2 species
AGGUGGGGUAGAGGUUGCGGGUUAUUAAGAGUACUUGUAAUGAGACAGGGAGAGUCGGUGAUUUACAAGGAAAGGAAUGCCCGCCGAAGUGUUGGGAGUGUCCCGCUCUCAAUGCUGGGGUUGUGCCGAACAGGUACAACACUGUCACAGGAGGUAUUUCCUUCAUAUUUCCUGUGGAGCACUAUCUUACUA